rnacentral:rRNA from 1 species
UACGUAGGGUGCGAGCGUUAAUCGGAAUUAUUGGGCGUAAAGCGCACGUAGGCGGUUCGUUAAGUCGGAUGUGAAAGCCCUCGGCUCAACUGAGGAAGUGCACCCGAAACUGGCGAGCUUGAGUACGAAAGAGGAUCGCGGAAUUCCCGGUGUAGAGGUGAAAUUCGUAGAUAUCGGGAGGAACACCGGUGGCGAAGGCGGCGAUCUGGGUCGAUACUGACGCUGAGGUGCGAAAAGCGUGGGGAGCAA